rnacentral:rRNA from 1 species
AACGUAGGAGACAAACGUUAUCCGGAGUUACUGGGCGUAAAGGGCGUGUAGGCGGUAUGUUAAGUCUGGCGUGAAAGCUCUCGGCUAAACCGGGAGAGGUCGUUGGAUACUGGCAAACUAGAGGAUGGUAGAGGCGCGUGGAAUUCCGGGUGUAGUGGUGAAAUGCGUAGAGAUCCGGAGGAACACCAGUGGCGAAGGCGACACGCUGGGCCGUACCUGACACUGAGGCGCGAUAGCAUGGGGAGCAAACAGG